rnacentral:rRNA from 1 species
GAUCCUGGCUUAGGAUGAACGCUGGCGGCGUGCCUAACACAUGCAAGUCGAACGAGCGAAAGAUGAAACCUAGUGAUUCUCGAGCGAGUGGCGGACGGGUGAGUAACGCGUGGGUAACCUGCCUUACAGAGGGGGAUAACAGUCUGAAAAGACUGCUAAUACCGCAUAAGCACACAGUACCGCAUGGUACAGGGUGAAAAGAUUUAUCACUGUAAGAUGGACCCGCGUCUGAUUAGCCAGUUGGCAGGGUAACGGCCUACCAAAGCGACGAUCAGUAGCCGACCUGAGAGGGUGAUCGGCCACAUUGGGACUGAGACACGGCCCAAACUCCUACGGGAGGCAGCAGUGGGGGAUAUUGCACAAUGGAGGAAACUCUGAUGCAAGCGACGCCGCGUGAGUGAAGAAGUAUUUCGGUAUGUAAAGCUCUAUCAGCAGGGAAGAUAAUGACAGUACCUGACCAAGAAGCCCCGGCUAACUACGUGCCAGCCGCCGC